AAACCAAUACCUUCUAUGGGUUUUCCAAAGUUUUGAGGAGGCUACUCAUCAUCUAAAUCAAGUUUCUCAUCAUUAGCGGUGCCACCAGCAGUAACAGGUUCAGCUUCUUUAACAAUUUCCUCUAAUGGUUCAGAAGGUUGUCUGUUAUCUUCAACAAUCUAGUCUUUUUUUAUGGAAGGAAAUAUGAAGUAAUUUUUUCCUCUUUACCAUUCUCUAAUUGCCUAACAUAUAAUAACAAUAAGGAAGUUCCAUUAGUAAUUGACUAAAAUUAAGAUUAAAUAAAUAAAUUACACUGCUCUUAGUUGUCAUAAAUCACAAUUUUUUUUUUGAUUUUGUAAUUUAUGGCAACUAAGAGCUGCGUGAUAUACUUAUUUAAUUUUAAUUUUAGUCUAAUUUCUAAUGGAACUUCCUUAUUUUUAUUAUAUGUUAGGCAGUCAGAGAAUGGUAAAGAGAAAAAAUAUUUAAAUAGUUAAACCUAAAAUUAUAAUUUUUAAAUUUUACUCCCCUUUCCCUUUGAGAGUUAAUCCUUACAAUUAAAAUCAGAUUUGGUAAAGAGCAAUUGAAAAAGUAAUAAAUAAUUGAAUUACCAGUAUUUAAUUCGCUCGAAUUUGUUGUUCUUCGUCCUUCUUGGUUCCUUGCGUUUAACUCUGGAGUUCCCUCCAGUUCAUCUCCUUCUGUCGUUGUCUAGUAUUUGGGAUAGUAAAUUUUUCUUUUGUUUCUUAUUUAAUUGAGUUUGGUGGAGAAAGAGAAAAGUAAGUAACAAAUUAAAAAACAAAGCUUCCUUAGUACGGGGACCACUAUAAGUUUCCUUGUUAGGAUAGGAAAAGACACAUAUUACUAGCAAAUUAGCAACAAAUGUCUCUCUUUUUAUAAUAAAUUUUUUCUAGAGAAUUAAUUUAAAAUUAUUUAAUCUUUUCUUCAAAGUUUUUAAAUUAACUUUUAGUAUUUACAAAAGAUGUUGGCAGGGUUCAAGGCAUCCUCUAGCCCUUGUGAUGUUUUCCCCUUGUAGAAACGACCACACAUGUAAAUUUUUAUAGCAAUUAAAAUUUUUUUUUAAAAAAUGUAUUAAAGUUCUAUCGACUAAUUUAAUCCUUUGCUAUUUUUCAAGAAUGGGGCUAAAGUGGAGAAAGGCAUGGUGCAAAUGACAUUAAUGGCCAUUGAGUUAAUUAGAAAAAGGAAUUAAAUUGUGGUGGUUUCUAUUGUAAUCUUUUGAAAAUGAACACAAAAGGAAAAAUAGACCAAAUUUUGAAAGAUUGAUGAUGGUAUCGAUACAUAGUGAAAGGUAUCGAUACUUUCUUCAAAGUAUCGAUACUUUCUUAAGGGUAUUGAUACUUCUGACUAGGUAGGAAAGUGCGUUCAGCUGGACGCAUUUUCAACUGACUGUGUAUGAAAGCACGCCUAGCUGAGCGUGUUUUCACAUUCUCUCUUGAAAAUCAACCUAUUCUGGUAAAUAUGCUAGAAAUCAGCCUAAUCACUCAAUUAUUUUUAUAAAUUGACAUUUUUACAUAAUUUAGCCUUGGUUGGCUAAGUGGUAAAUUUAAUGUUUUACUAAUUUAAUUUAUAUGAGUUCAAAUCACACCACAUGUAUAUUUUAUUUAUUUUUCUAAAAUAAAAAGACUAAAAUACCCUCAAAUAAUAUAAAUUAUUUUAAUUAUAGAAUGAUAUUUUCAUAAUUUCCCUAACUGAGUUGGGAUUUAAUUGAUGGGGGACACCAACUCAGUAAAAGGCUUAAUAAAUAGUGUAGGUUUUAGCAUAACUUUAUGGAUAAACUACUUAGUUGGUCACUCAACUUUUAGGGCACUUUUAUUUUGGGUGACCAAAAUGAAAUCAUUGCAAUUUUGUUACGCAACUUUUAAGGCACUUUCAUUUAAUUACCAAAGUGUUAAAUCUCUAAGUGCGGUUGAUUGUACAUGCCAUAUUAUUAUACACUUUCAAUUUGGCCAUCCAACUUAUAGGUUACUUUCAUUUUGGUCACCCAAAAAAAUAAAAUUUUAAAGUAUUAAUCAGGGUAAAAAAUUAAGGAUUGUUGGGGAUAUACUCGUGUAAGCAACGAACAAGUAAACUAAUGAAGAAAUUGAAAAGAUCAAACAUAAAUAUUUUACAUAGAAAAACCCCUUCGAAGAGGAUAAAAAACAACGGGCAAAUAUAAUUUCACUAAAUCAGAAAAAUUAAAGAGUACAAAGAUGGAGAUAAAAAACUAAACCCCAAAACCCAAAAAUAAGAACCCUCAAAACUUAAACACAAAAUUCCCUAAAAGCUUGUAAAAGCUAAUACCUAAAUGUGUUAUGGUUUAAAUCUUUCUAGGGUAGACAAAUUCUUAUUUAUAGGCUAAAUUUCGUGUACAAAUUUGACUAAAAUAUCUUUAGAAUAAUCAAAGUUUAACUGGGAGAAGAAAACCAAAAAAGCUUUGGGAACAUGUCAUCACGUCAUGACGUGGUUGUUGCCUCAUCUAGAUGCCCUUCAUCGCAUCGUCGAGAAGUGGCAAAAAUUCUUGUUGUGACGUCGGUGGUUGCAUCAUCAGGAUGACGCUUCUUCCUUGUCGGGAUGUCAUCUCUAUUUCAGCAAAAAAUGCGAGACACACUACAUAAAUAUCCACAUUGACUCGUAUUUUCACAAUGCUAUCUUUACCAAAGCCCGCUAUGGGCUAUCUCGAACUUUGUAGGGUAUUAACUGAGUCUAAGCUGUGCUUGAAAUUUGAAAUUGGAAGAAUCUAGUCUUCACUUAUGCACUGCCAAAUCAAACUUAACUCAGGUUUUGUUUUUCAUGAAUGUAGUGCUUUAUCUUUCCAAAACCUACACCCAAAAGAGAACUUCUCCUAUUCAAAACGGUCAUACCUUUUGCCCUCCUAUGACCAAGUUACCUUUGCUUCAAACGAAUUGACUUCGAAUCCUUAACAGACGAGUGACAUGUUGUUUCACCGGUCACCGUUGAUCCUUGCAAAACAUAAAGGCUGCUUGUAACAACCCAUUUUCCGUGAAAUUGAAACAGUGUUUCGGAACCACAAAUCUGAGCAAGAAAGAUAAUUUAUUUUAAUAUUAUUACAUGAUUCGUAAUAUGAUAGAAAGGAUAUACGAAAAUUUUGAUAGGAAAAUUGUAAUAUCCCACACAAGUACCCUUCGUCGGGACGGAAUACGAGACAUUAUCUAACCUUAAACUCAUGCUUUCAAACAUUUCUGAGUCACCAAAACUCUGUUCAAUUUGAAACUUUUUUUAAUUUUUACUUUAAACUUCUUAUCAUGGGCCUACGAGGCCCAAAUCGACCAUUAGAAACUAUUCGAGAUUAACCCCGGCCCUUAAGCCAUGUAUAGAAAAUUUGUUCUAAAAAUAAGGCAUAAGCCCAUGUAGAAAGGCAACACGCCUGUGUGGCCAAUUCGACAUGGUCAUGCUGAUGGCCCAUGUGUCUCACAAGGCCUAAGCAAUACAAGGACACGCCCGUGUCCUCCACCCGCGUGGAAUUAAUUCUAAAUGCACACCUACAGGGGUUUUUACACGGCCUAGCACAAGCCCGUGUCCUUUACACUGCCAUGACACGCCCGUGUCCGUGUGCAAAAAACCUGGACAUUCUGUUUCUGAUGUCAGCAACCCCAAAAUGUCACACGGCCAAGGCACACACUCGUGUGCUAGCCCGUGUCCUUCAUACGGUUGAGACACACGUCCGUGUCUCUGCCUAUGGUUUACUACCAUGCAUACUGACUUGAAAAUUUUAUGUGUAGGAGACACACGUCCAGACCACACGCCCAUAAGGCAGACCGUGUGUCACACAUGGCCUAGACACACACUUAUGUUUCUACCCAUGUGGAUAAUAUAAGGCUAUUUACCAAGCCUCUUAGCCACCCUUAUUUACACAAUCUACACAAUGGCAACCAAAACCAACAUAAGGCUAUCUCAUGCAACCAAAUCAGCCACAAUAAAUAACAUUCCAUUUGUGCAUUUUACUCAUCCAUGAAAACAACAUCUUCGCAUAUAAAUCAAAAUGAAUCUUAGACAUCAUUUAAGGCUUAAUACAAAAUGAGGGAUUUAUCCCAAGGCAACACAUUUGGCCAAAUUAAUAAUAACACAAAACUCAAGUCUAAUUCCCUAUACAUUCCAUAUUCAAAAAUAUAAAUCAAACUAUACCGAAUAAUUUGAUUGAUAGUGUGAUCGAUAUCUCUGACUUUAAUUGGUUCUUAAGCUAGAUAGGUGACACCAUAAGAAAACAUAAAAGGAGAGGGAGUAAGCUUAAAGCUUAGUAAGUUGCACAUAAAUAAAUAUACAACACAACUUUACCAUUCAUCAAUAAGCUCAUAACUUACAAAUGGGCAUAAACAAAACUUACUCAUCAAUAUCUAAUCCAUAUCAUAUAGUGCAUAUUGGGUUCACAUUUUAUACAUACCAAAUAGGUACUUGUAUCACUCACAAUACGGUUAUACUUUCCUCAUUAACUAGAAAUCAUAACUUUCACUGUUGAACUAUUUGGAACACUAUCGGAUAUUCCACAAGCCUCAAACAUGGAGUAAGGUGACGAUGCCAUGUCCCAGACAUGGUUUUACACUGACACAUUUCAUGGCCGAUGCAUGUUCUAGACAUGUUUUACACUGGCUUACAUCUUGAGGCUGAUGCAUAUCCUAGACAUGCCUUACACUAGCGCUCGUCUCAAUGCCGAUGCCAUGUCCCAAACAUGGUCUUACACUGACUCUCAUAAUGUGGCCGAUGCAUGUCCCAGACAUGUCUUACACUAGCUCACACAAGUGGCCCUAAACGUCAUGGCAUGAAUAUCCGAUUUAUUUCCUUAGGUUUGUUUGGGAAUUCUACUAUCUCUAUUCUCAUCUCAUUUUCUCAUUUCCACAAUCAAGCAAUUUAUGCUAUAAAAAUUUCAAUACAAUUCAAACACAUAUAUUAUCAAUGUUGUAGCACCCCAAACCCGACCCAGACGUUAUGGCUGAAUUCGACAUGCCACAUUGAAGUUAAAAACCCAUGUUCCCUUUUUAGUGUUUUAAAAGUUGACUUUUGUUAAGCUAACCAAGUGAAUGGAAGCUGGGCACCAGGUAGGUAUCCGUAACAGAAGAGGUGAGCCAUGAAGGCUGCUUAAGUACCAAGCUCUUCGAUUGGAUCCAAUCCUAGACAUGCCCAUAUCCAUUGCCACACUUGGUUAUAACAAUUGAAAUUUCUUUGAGUGGUUAUCUUUGGUAAAUUGAAUAUUCGUGACGUCGUGUUAUUUUAAAACAAGCAUCGUUUUGAAAUCGCGCCCUAAGUCUAGCUCAUUUGAAUUAUUAUCUAUCAAUUUAAAGUUAUUUAAAAUAAUAUAAUCCCAGAAAAUCAAAGAAGAAAAUAAAGUUAAAAUGACCUUAUUACAACCCAAAAAUUAAAUAGUAAUUAAAAAUAGCUUAAGAAAACCAGUCUCUUUUUCAAACCCAAAAGCGUUCACCAUGGCCACUCUGAAUCCCCUCCGGCUCCAAGACACCCACAUCAAUGCUCACCUGCAAGGUUAAAGAAGGGGUGAGUUUGGAAACUCAGUGUGUAAGGAAACCCAUCCAAAGCCCAAGUUAGCUCAAGCCCAUUGGGCCUAAGCCCAUUCAGAUAACAGUGAUAUUGGGCCAGAGCCCUUUUCAGAUUACAUUAAAAUGGGCCUUAACCCCUUAUUUCAGAUAACAGUAUGGCCCAUAGGCCCAUUUCAAAAUACAUGCAACAUUAAUAAACAUAUGCAAGCCCAUUUGGGGAGUCUACUCAACCCACCAACCGCUACACUCCAUCCGUACCAGCCCUACACUCCAUGUGGGGAAUAGCUCAACCCACCCAGCCCUACACUCCACAGUUGCAGCCUUGCUGCUCAGUUAACAGUGAAUUAAGGCAAAGCCUCCAGUACGUGGAUAGGCCACUUUUAGUACCUCCUCCAUCAAUAUCCCAGUCCCAUGCAUCAGAUAAUAACAACAUGGUAUGCAGUAAAUAACAACAGUCAGACAUGCAUUCAGGUCAAUUUAACCUUAGGGGUAUUUCGGUAAUUUAUCUCCUAGGGGUAAAACUAUAAAUUUUCCACUUUUAAAGGUAUUUCAGUAAUUUAUCUAUUCUAAGGUUUUUCAUGCAUACUCCUACCUUUCACGUACUAACAGAAUCACUUACCAAGGGUUCUUACCGAAUUGGGCCCGUUGGCCCUUUAUUCCAAUUUUGGCCCAAUAAGCCCAAAAAUAUCGAGGGCACAGAAAUCAUGCAAUUUCUAGUCCAAACAUUGCAGCUUACCAAAAACAUUAAUCGAUUUACCUCACGAGCAUUCGCACACUUGCAAAUCUACAAAAUACCAGUUUUCGGCAUUUCGGCUUUUUUGCUUUUGCCGAUCUAGACUAAGAAAGGGUGUCAGUUACACACCUGUUUUAUAACGAUUCGUUGACGAGAUCCACGCUCGAAGUACUUACAAUUAUAUUACUACCAUGUUAAUCUACUACCGAAAUGAACUACAUAAUAACUCCUUACCUUAUUCGGCCAUAACACCUUAGGCACUAGCAACCCUACCUUUGCCGAAGUUUGCGACUAGAUUAGAUCCCGUUGCUCCACUUGUCCAAGCCCUUGAUCAGCAGCCUCUAGAUCAUAAUAUUAUUAAGACAAAAUAGUUAUCACAACCCCUUAGGGCUACAAGUCCAAGUCGACAGCCUCCCUAACCUUUAGGGGUUUCGGUUUUUCUAAAAUGCAAAAUAAAGACUAGAUUGAAAAGACUUACCACCGGUUCCUUCGGUCAAUGAUCCCAAUUAAUUUCUACUCAAUUCUGAUGCCGAUCUAAGCCCUCAAAUGAUAACAAAAGUUGAGCCUUCAGUGAUCUCACUAUUCGGCCAAGUCCCUAAGAGAGUGGGGUUUUCAGCUUUUGUUGAAGCUGUGUAAAGAAAGAUGAAAUAGGAGGGUUUUGCUAUGGUUUUGUCGACAGAACCUUGAGGUUUAGAGAACUAGAGAAUCGGUCAAGAAUGAUGGAAAAGAUAAUAAAAUUGGCUAGGAGAAAUCGGCACAGAAGAAAGUAUGGGUUUCGGGAUUUCAGCUUUUUAUGGCAAUGGCUAUGAAGGUUUUAGAAACGUUUGAAGCAAAAGAUGAAGAUGGACAGGUGGUUAGAGAGAUUCAGCUAUGGAGGAAAAGAAGAUGAAAAAAAAGAAAAAGUUGAAGAGAAGAGGAGAAAAGAAAGAAAAGGAGAAUGGUCAGCAAACGUCACAACUUUCCCCCUAAUGUCGAAUUUAUACUGGCACUUAACCUAGCCGAAUUUUGCCCCCCAAAAGAAACCGUUGGCCGGCCAACUCUUGCUCCUCAAGAGUCCACUAUUAGGCCAUCACUACUCUCCCAAAUCAGCUCCUAAAUCCUAUCCCUUAUCCCCUCUUUACUCAAUCCCUUGAGCAAUUUAAACUCUUCCUGACAGUCUUUCACUUAGGUUCCAUUACUUACCUUUCCUACACAUAAAAAUUAAUAUCACUAGUUUGCUUACCUUGCGACUCGAACCUUAGCUCUCCUUGGUCAUCCACACGCCACCUCUCAAGCCCCCAAGUGACGCCACAAGCCUACCACGGGCUUCCUUGUGUUUUAUUUUACGCAAUUAAUACCUUAAAGCCCAGCUAACCAGAACCCCUUUUUGUAUAGAAUUAAAAUUAACUAAAAUUACCGGAUUUUAACCUAAACUUGGGCCUUCUAGAGACCCACUAACCUGAUUAAAUCUACGCCAAGUAGACAGAACACCAAAAUAUAAAAUUUUCCAACACUCACAGAAUUCCCGAAAAUUGGGGCGUUACAAAUGUAGUUGUAUUAUUUACAUACAACUUACCUCGGAUCAUAAAAUGUGGCGACUAGUCAAUUUAGUCGAUUUGCUUGGCUUUCCCUCGGUCUAGGUUCGAAUUCGGUAUUUCUUAAUCUAUAAUUAAAAAAAUGCACUUAUUUAAUCACUUUAUCAACAUAGGCACUCUAUAAUUCAAAGUUGGGCAAAAUGACCAAUUUUCCUUAGACUUUUACAAAAUGACCAUUUUACCCCUAAGUUCGAAAAUUAAUUUUUAUCGAAUUUUUUCACAUCUUAAGCCUAGCCAAACCCUUUAUACUCUUACAGAAACUCCAAAUUCCCACUAUUUCACACACUUAUCAGCUAUUUUACAACUUAUGCAAAAUAGUCCUUUUAGGUGUUUUCAUGCAACACCUUUCACAAAAGUUGUUUAUAAGACACCCAAGACUCAUUUUCUUCCAUAAAAACUCAGCAAACAUUACAAAUCCUUUCAGGGAAAAACCCUAAACUCUUAGUCAUUUUGCAAAAUAGUACCCUCAUUUGAAAGCUUAUGCUUCAAGGGUUUCAAAAAUGCAAAAAUCAUCAACAAAGGGUAUAGAAAUCACUUACUUCUAGAGAUGAUAAGUUGCUAAAAAUUUCAAGCUUCAAAACUCAUCUCUUGGCUGAUAUUUUUGGUUAAGAAGAAAGAAUAGGUGAAAAAGAUGAAGGCUAGGCACUUAGGGUAUUAUUUUAUCAUAUAAUAUGUCAUCACUUAUCUAACAUUUUGACCAUUUACUCUUCUUUUGUCUCGUGGCCGGCCAAGCUCUUUUAAAAGGGUUUAAUUGCCCUUUGAAGACCCUCAACUUUUAUUCUCUAGCUAUUUGACACCUUUAGCUAUCAAAUUAGGACUUUUGCACUUUAUACGAUUUAGUCCUUUUAUGCAAUUAAGCUCACAAACGCUAAAAUUACUUUACCAAAUUUUUCAUGCACUCUUAAAAACAUGCUAUAAUAUCAAAAUAAUAAAAAAAUAAUUUCUACAACUUUUGAUUUGUGGUUUUGAGACCAGUAUUCUGAUUAGGCCCAAAAUCAGGCUGUUACAUUUUUCCCCUCUUAGGGAUUUUCGUCCCCGAAAAUCUUACUGACGAAUAAAUUCGGGUAUUAAUCUCUCAUAGUUCCCUCGGGUUCCAAUGUGGCUUCCUCGACUCCAUGUCCAUGCCAUAAAACUUUCACGAGUGUUAUACUCUUAUUCCUUAACUGUUUGCCUUCACGAGUUAAAAUCUUGAUCAGCUCUUCGCCAUAACUCAUGUCCGGAUGAAUCUCGACCUCUGUUGGUGUAAUCACAUGCGAAGGGUCUGAUCUAUAUCGACGUAGCAUGGAUACAUAAAAUAUGUCAUGAAUUUUUUCCAAUUCUGGUGGCAAAGCCAAUCGAUAGGCAAUUGACCCUACUCUCUCGGUAACCUCAUAAGGUCCUAUGAAACGAGGACUCAACUUGCCUCUUCUACCAAAUCUGAGUACUUUCUUCCACGGGGAUACUUUAAAAACACUCGAUCACUGACUUGAAAUUCGAUCUCUUUCCAUUUCAAAUUCGCAUAAGAUUUUCGCCUAUCCGAGGUGGUCUUCAAACAGUUGCGAAUCACCUUAACUUUCUCUUCGGUCUCUUUGGCUAAAUCGACCCCGUGAAUAUGAUCCUCUCUGAGCUGGUCCAAUAUAAGGGCGUUUGACACUUUUUCCUAUAUAAAGCCUUAUAAGGAGCCAUCUUCAAACUUGACUGAUAGCUAAUGUUGUAGGCGAAUUCAACUAAUGGCAAGUACCUUUCUCAACUACCCUGAAAUUCUAGAAUACAACACCGCAACAUUUCUUCUAAAAUCUGAAUCACUCUUUCCGACUGACUGUCGAUUUGCGGGUGAAAUGCUGUGUUAAAACUCAACUUUGUUCCCAAAGCCUCUCGUAAUUUUUUCCAAAAUCUCGAGGUAAAUCUCGGGUCUCUAUUUGAAAUAAUCAACAUGGGCACCCUGUGUAGCUUUAUAAUCUCAGAAACGUACAAGUCAACCAAUCUCUUAAGGGAGUAGUCAGUACUCACCGGUAUAAAAUGUGCCGACUUUGUUAGCCUAUCCAAAAUAACCCAAACGACAUCCUUUUUCCUCGGGGUUAAUGGAAAAUCCGUCACAAAAUCCAUAGUAAUUCGAUGCCACUUCCACUCUGGGAUCGUUAUAGGCUGAAAAAACCUGAAGGUACUUGGUGUUCGGCCUUCACUUGCUGACACACAAGACACUUGGAAAUGAACUCUGAAAUGUCUCUUUUCAUUCUUGUCCAUCAAUAUAUUUUCUUCAAAUCGUUGUACAUUUUUACACUACCCGGGUGAAUGGACAAGAAACCACUAUGUGCCUCUCGUAGAAUCUUCUGAAUAAGCUCACUGUCUUUGGGUAUACAAACUCUAUCCUUAAACACCAAACACCCAUCAUACCAAUUCGAAAGUCUGAUUUGGCCCCCGACUCACGUUGAUUUCUCUUGGUUUGCAAAUCUUUGUCAUUGUUCUGAGCUUCACGAAUUUCUUGUAGAAACAUCGGCCAAGCUCUCAACUCUGCUAGAAUUGAACCAUCGCUAGACACAGUCAACUGAGUAUUCAUAGCUCUUAAAGUGAAAAAUGACUUUCUACUCAAAGCGUCGGCGACUAUAUUCGCCUUUCUCAGGUGAUAGUCAAUUACCAACUCGUAAUCCUUUAUAAGUGUUAGCCACCUUCGUUGCUGUAGAUUCAAUUCCUUCUGAGUCAUUAAAUACUUAAGAAUUUUGUGAUCAGUGAUUACUCGGCAUAUCUCACCAUACAAAUGAUGUCUCCAAAUCUUUAACGCGAACAUUAUAACUACUAGUUCCAAGUCAAGGGUCGGGUAAUUUCUCUCGUGUGGCUUUAGCUAUCUUGAGGCAUAGGCUAUAACCUUGCCUUCUUGCAUGAGCACACACCCCAACCCAUUCAAGAAGGCGUUUCUAUAAAUCACAAAUUCCUUGCCCGACUCUGGUUGUACUAACACUGGGGCUUUGGUCAAUAAAACUUUUAAUUUCCUGAAACUUUGUUGGCACUUUUCUAACCAUUCGAAUUUGAAGUCCUUUUGUAAUAGCCUCAUCAUUGGAAUAGCAAUCAUAGAAAACCCUCGAACAAACCUUCUAUAGUAUUUGGCCAAACCCAAAAAAGCUUCUAACUCCUGUCAUAUUUCUUGGCGACUUCCUCUCAAUAAUGGCUGAAAUCUUACUCGGAUCAAUUUGGAUCCAAUCACCUGGUACAAAAUGCCCAAAAAUCUGACUUCUCUAAGCCAAAAUUCACUCUUACUGAACUUGGUGUACAAUUUCUUGUCUCUCAAGGUCUGUAAAACAGUUCUCAAAUGCUCCGCGUGUUCACCCUCAUAAUGCGAGUAAAUCAGUAUGUCAUCGAUAAAUACAAUGACAAACUUAUGUAGAUACGGAAAAAAAUGUGGUUCAUCAAAUCCAUAAAUACCUUCGAGGCAUUACUCAAACCAAAGGACAUGACGAGGAACUCAUAAUGCCCAUCUCGUCCGAAACGCAGUGUUCCGUACAUCUUGCUCUUUAACCCUUAACUGAUAAUAGCUAGAUCUCAAAUCAAUCUUGGAGAACACCAUGGCUUCCUUCAAUUGAUCAAACAAAUCAUUGAUCCUUGGUAGAGGAUACUUAUUCUUUAUCGUCGCCUUGUACAGUUCGCAGUAGUCAAUACAUAGCCUCAUCGAACCAUCAACAUUGAUGCACCCCACGAUGAAUAACUAGGUCUCGCGAAACCUUUAUCCGUCAAUUUUUGAAGCUGAGCCUUUAACUCCUUUAAUUCGGUCAGAGCUAUCCUAUAGAGAGCAAUAGAAAUGAGUGCCGUGUCAGGUACCAACUCAAUUCCAAACUCAACUUCCCUCACUAGAGGUAGUCUGGGUAAUUCUUCCAGAAACACAUCUAUAAACUCGCAAACCACUGGUACCGAUUCUACCUUCGAUUCAGACACUUAAGUAUUCAACACAAAAGUGAGAUAAGCAUCAUAUCCUUUCCUCAAAUAUUUUUCAGCAAUCAACGAAGAUAUUAUCACGGGUAAAUUAUUCGAUUCAUCUGGCCCAACCCAAAGAAUAUUCCCGUUUUCACAUUUCAGUUCAAUAACUUUUCUCCCACAGUCCGCUACAACAGUAUGAGAAGUCAACCAAUCCAUCACAAGGAUUAAAUCGAAUUCAUUAAAAGACAACAACAUCAAGUUGGCUGGAAAACAAUGACCCCUAAUUGUCAAAGGACUAUUUCUAUACACUUGGUCUACUAGCAUAUAUCUACCCAAAGGGUUGGACACUUUUAUCCCAAAUUUUGUGGGCUCUACUAACAUGUUCAUACGGGAUAUUAAUUCCAUACAAAUAUAGGAGUGGGUAGACCCCGGGUCAAUUAAAGCAACAAUAGAUAUAUCGUGGAUAGAAAAGGUACUCGUGAUCACGUCGGGAGAUUCUGCCUCUUCACGGGCACUAAUAGUGUAAGUCCUUGCAGGUGCUCUGCCCUUGGACCUCAAUACAACAUCUUUGGCUACACCUCUACUAGUAGUCUAGCUUCCAGGGUUCUUUUGUGGUCUACCCCUCAAAGGAGCACUACUUGCCUUCACUUCUUGCUUUUUCUCUCUUCCAUUUCGGAACAGUAUCGGAUGAAGUGGUCUAGUGACCCACAUUUGAAGCACCCUUUUUCUUUACCUUGGAACUCACCAAAGUGGUGCCUACCAUAUUGUGAAUAUUCUGGCCUAGUUGGCCGAGCACUACUGACGCUCGAGACAGAAGUGGUUUGGACUCUAGAAGUCGUGUUCUGCUGGUUAUUAUUUCUAUUCGAAAACCCCACGGAAGCAUUCGAUCGGUUAGAGAAUUCCUUAGAUUUCUUAGAUGAGGACUGGUACGAUUUCUCCGUUUGUCUUUUCCUCGAAUCACGCAUCUCAAUAGUCGUCUUCCUUCUCUCUUUAACCAACUCUUCCGCUUUGCAUGUUCUCUCAAUGAGUACCACAAAUUCUCUUAACUUUGAAAUGCCAACAAACACUCGGAUAUCCUCAUUUAGACUAUCCUCAAACCUUUUACACAUGGUGGCUUUUGAGGACACGCACUCCCCUACGUAUUUGCUGAGUUUCACAAACUCACGUUCAUACUUCGCCACAGCUUUACUACCUUGCUUCAACUCUAGAAAUUCUUUCCUCUUUUGGUUUAUAAACCUUUGACUAAUAUACUUCUUUCGGAACUCUUCCUGGAAGAAUUCUGAAGUUAGUCUCUCUCUCGGUACCAUAAACAUGAGAGUGUUCCACCACUGGUAGGUCUAAUCUCGCAAGAGCGAUACCGCACAUUUCACGCACUCCUCAGGCGUACACGACAGUUCAUCAAAUACCCUGAUGGUAUUCUCUAACCAAAACUUUUCUUUCUCCGGGUCGUCAUCUAUGUUAGCCUGGAGUUCUUUAGCUCCUUGUUUCCAGAUCUUGUCUACCAGAGGCUUCUCCCUCUUGAUCACGUCCGCUCCUUGCAGAGCUAUAGGGGCAUACUGAGGAAUCAGAGGAGGUGGGGGAGGUGGAAUGUUUGGAUUCGCACAAACGAACUCCGUGUACCAAACAUCCAUCAUUCAGAGAUAGGCUUCUCUAGCCGCUCCGCCUUGGCCCAUAGUUAAGGGCUCACUCUCAACAACCACGGUCCCUUCAGCGGGAGCCAGUGUGUUACUCUCCAUGUCAUCCGUCUAGCUCUAUCAGGAUUCAUUUACUAUAUAAAAAUAUAAUUUAUAGUCGUCAGAAGUCGUCACAUUAUCAAUAUACAGUUAUGGCAUGUAUAGCUAGACUCGUACUCUCAGUAGGUUAGUCCUAGAACCGAAUAAAACAUUACUCUGAUACUACUAAAUGUAACACCCCACACCCGUACCCUUCGCCGGGAUGAAAUAUGAGGCAUUAAACAUUUCUGAGUCACCAAAACUCUGUUCAAUUUGAAACUUUUUCAAUUUCUACUUUAAACUUCUUAUCAUGGGCCUACGAACCCCAAAUCGACCAUUGGAAACUAUUCGGGAUUAACCCCAGUCCUCAAGCCAUCUAUAGAAAAUUUGUCUUAGAAACAGGACACACGCCCGUGUGGCCAAUUCGACAUGGUCAUGCUGAUGGCCCGUGUGUCUCCACGGCCUAAGCAAUACAGGGACAUGCCCAUGUCCUCUACCCGUGUGGAAUUAAUUUUAAAUGCACACCUACAGGGUUUUUCACAUGGUCUAGCACACACCCAUGUCCCUGGCCCUGGCCCGUGCCCUUCACACGACCAUGACACGCUUGUGUCCUAGACCGUGUGCAAAAACCUAGACAUUUUGUUUCUGACGUCAGCAACCCCAAAAUGUCACACGGCCAAGGCACACGCCUGUGUACUAGGCCAUGUCCUUCACACGGCUCAGACACACGGUCAUGUCUUUGCCCGUGUGUUUACUACCAUGCAUACUAACUUGAAAAUUUUAAGUGCAGGGGACACACGACCGAACCACACGCCUAUAAGGCAGACUGUGUGUCACACAGGCCUAGACACACACCCGUGUGUUUACUCGUGUGGACAAUAUAAAUCUAUUUACCAAGCCUCUUAGCCACCCUUAUUUACACAACCUGCGCAAUGGCAACCAAAACUAAUAUAAGGCUAUCUCAUGCAACCAAAUCAGCCACAAUAAACAACAUUCCAUUUGUGCAUUUUACUCAUCCAUGAAAAUAACAUCUUUACAUAUAAAUCAAAAUGAAUCUUAGCCAUCAUUCAAGGCUUAAUACAAAAUGAGGGAUUUAUCCCAAGCCAACACAUUUGGCCAAAUUAAUAAUAACACAAAACUCAAGUCUAAUUCCCUAUACAUUCCAUAUUCAAAAAUAUAAAUCAAACUAUACUGAAUACUUUGAUUGAUAGUGUGAUCGAUAUCUUUGACUUCCGUUGGUUCUUGAGCUAGAUAGGCGGCACUGUAAGAAAACGAAAAAGGAGAGGGAGCAAGCUUAAAGCUUAAUAAGUUGCACAUAAAUAAAUAUACAACACAACUUUACCAUUCAUCAACAAGCUCAUAACUUACAAGUGGGCAUAAGUAAAAUUUGCUCAUCAAUAUCCAAUCCACAUUAUAUAGUACAUAUUGGGUUCACAUUUUAUACAUACCAAAUAGGUACCUGUAUCACUCAUAACACGGUUAUACUUUCCUCAUUAACUAGAAAUCAUAACUUUCACCGUUGAACCAUUUGGAACACUACCGGAUAUUUUAUAAGCCUCAAACAUGGGGUAAGGUGCCGAUGCCAUGUCCCAGACAUAGUCUUACAUUGACACAUUUUAUGGUUGGUGCAUGUCCCAGACAUGUCUUACACUGGCUUACAUCUUGAGGCUAAUGCAUGUCCUAGACAUGUCUUACACUAGCACUCGUCUCAGUGCCGAUGCCAUGUCCUAGACAUGGUGUAACACUCCAAACCCGGCCUAGAUGUUAUGGACGAAUCUGUGAUGUCACAUUCGAGUGUUUUUCCAAAACAUUAAUUGUUGAAAAAUUAGUUUCUUAUAAACACUUCAUUAGAUUCUUAACAAAAGGUUAGAAGGCCUAGCUCAUUGUAAAAACUCAAGUUAUUUAGGUAAAAUAUUACUUCAACCAGUUUAUUAUUAAUUUUAAAACCGUGUUGCGUGAGCGUGAUGUUUUCAAAAAAACCUUUUUUUAUAUUUUCAUGAAAAUUAGCGUCCUAUCACUAACAGGUAAAUUAAAUCAGUUAAAUAAAUAAAUCUCCCAAAUUAAUUAAAAAUUAAAGUGGCCUUAUUACAUAAUAAAAACCCAAUAUAAAAUGAUAAAUAUAAUAUAAAAAGAAACUACGUCGAGUGGCCACCUCUGAAUCCUCUGUCGCCUCGAUCCGAUUAAGCCUGAGAAUUUCCUGCACAGUUAACAAAUGGGUGAGUUUACGAAAAAUCAGUGUGUGAAAGCCCAACAUAACAAACAAUCAGGUAAACGCAAUCUGGGCCUAGGCCUGUUAGUUCCAGUUAGGCCUUAGCCCCUUUUUCAGUAGCAGUAUAAGUCUGCGCCUGAGCCUAUUUCAGUACUGUAUGCAAACAAAGAUUCUUACCCAAUCCAACCGCUACACACUAUCUCCGUACUAGCCUUACACACCAUGUGGGGAUAUAAUUGACCCACCCAACCCUAAACACCAAAUCAUACCGUUUUAGGUACUAAAACAGCAUUCGUAGUAGAGCUGCCAGUAAUAGGCUUAUAGCCAUUCAGUACACUUCCUCCAAAAUCAUAUAUCCCACCCCAUGUAAUGCAACAUAAUAUCAUACGUGUAUGCAGAAAUGUCAUGCUCAUAAACAGUCAUACAUAGUAUAGGGGUAUUUCAAUCAAUUUACCUCUCACAGGUGUAUAAUGGUCAUUUCAAUAGUAUGGGGUCUAAGUGUAUUUACCGACCCAACAAUAGGUCCAUAGUCGUCUUGAGCGAUCCGCGCAACCAUAUCGGUCAACCAGUACUAAUGGGCCUAUAGCCCAUAUUGCGGCCCAUGUUGGCCCACACUUUCGUUUGGCCACAUAGCCCAAAAAUAGUCAUGUAGUUCACACAAUCUGGCCCACAAUUUACCACGUUUUGUGUGAUUUCUCCGCGGGGUCCACAAGACCACUAGGCCUACACGACCCAGUUCGGCCCAGAAUGGCCCAAUACUGUUUCGGCCCAUGAAAACACUCAUGGCCAUUUCGUCGACAUCACGGCCUCAUUUUGCUACUAGGCCUGCCGCACGGACGGCCAUACGCCUGUGUGGUGCCGACAACCCACUUUUUGACUUUUCGGCUUUUCCACUGUACUAAGUUAGUAGCAAUGGGGGUACACACACAUGAUUGCAAAAUCGCCCAACUAGCCCACAAGUACUCCAAUCUGUUUCAAGUAAAAGGUUCGGUUAAUAGGUUAUAGUCGAAUUAAAGUAACCCUAAACAAAACACUUUUCCAUAUUCUUACUUACCCCUUGCUUUGAUCGCUCCAUAAACCGUUGCCAACAACCCCUUUUCCAAUCCUUAGAGGCUACCUGCAACCAUACAUCCCUUAUAAACUAUUACCUCACUUAAACCAUUAUACCAAGUGUAAAGAACUUACCAAAAUCGUAGGCUAAAAGUAAGGGUUUGCAAUAUUGGGCCAACGUCCCAGAGCACACCUUAAUCCAAAUGCACGAGAUAGAAGAAUCUCGCUCCCUAGAAUAAAUCGCCAAAAGGAGAGUUAUUAAACAUGAUUACUUCAGGCAAAACCAAAGAGGAAACGAGAGAAAUAACAUGAUGGAAAGGGAGAAAGAACUUGCCCUGACCCCUAAUCAAAUGCUCAAGAACCCACUUCAAAAGCUGAAACACGAUAGGAGUUGAGAGAGUUGCAGAGGGGUUCGGCUCCCAGAAAAAAUAGUGUCGGUUCAGAACCAAAGAAGAAAAACUAGAUUCGGCAAGAGUUACAGAGUAGAAAAAGAAUAAUAAUAAUAAGAAGAAAGUAUACGGCUAAUAGACCAAAAGAGAAUAUGAAAAAUGAUGACCGAUUGGGAGGAAGGGAAUGAGGGUUUGGCAAAUUGUGAAGAAGAUUAAGGAAGGAAAAAGAGGAAGAUCGAUUACUCAAACACAACCUUGAAGACAAAACCACAACAGGCUAGAAUGCAAAAUGCCCGAGUGGUCACCAGAACAUAUGGCUACCAAGCAAAACAAUAACCGGAAGAGGAAAAAACAUGAAAAAAAUGGGCAGAAGACAAAUGACGAUUACCCAAAAUGGAGAGCACUAGAUUACACUUUCGGUACAAAGAGCAUAGCCGAAUGACUAGGUGCACUACUCACACCAAAAAAUUGAGGAGAGUCCUCAUUCGGCACUGCAUUCCCACACUCUCCAACUCCUUAACUUUCUCCUCAAAAACUUCCCCACAUCUCUUAACCGAUUACUCCCCUAUCCACUCCCACCAAACUCUCCCAAAAUUCAGCUAUUCAUCUCCAUUCAACCACUCCAACAUAAUAGUUUCGGUCAACCUUUACUUCCUCCAUUGCAAGGCAGCAAAAUAAAACACCUUAGCGCACAGAAGGCUCGAACUCAAGACCCCUAGGCACACACCACACGUUACUUAGCACUAGGCUAGCAGGCCUUAUAUUGUCAUACUUCACUCGUUUUAGUUUAAAAGUCUAUAAGCUGAAGACAAGGGUUUAUUCACUUAGAAGCAAAAUUUUACUCAAACAAAGGUUUGAACCCAUGACUUCCCAGACACUCCCAGAGUACUACACCACUAAGGCAGACAUACAUCCAUGCCACAACCAUGCAAAAAUAAUUUUAACAGGGGUUCGGGAUUUGAGAAAUUGAGGCGUUACACAUUGGCUUACACUAGCUCUCAUAAUGUGGCCGAUGCAUGUCCCAGACAUGUCUUACACUAGCUCACACAAGUGACCCCAAACGUCAUGGCAUGAAUAUCCGAUUUAUUUCCUAAGGUUCGUUCGGGAAUUCUACUAUCUCUAUUCUUAUAUCAUUUUCUCAUUUCCACAAUCAAGCAAUUUAUGCUAUAAAAAAUCCAAUACAAUUCAAACACUUAUAUUAUCAAUGUAGUUGUAUUAUUUGCAUACAACUUACCUCGGAUCACAAAAUGUGGCAACUAGUCGAUUUAGUCGAUUUGCUUAGCUUUCUCUCGGUCUAGGUUUGAAUUUGGUAUUUCUUGAUCUAUAAUAACAAAAUGCACUUAUUUAAUCACUUUAUCAAAAUAGACACUCUACAAUUCAUAGUUGGGCAAAAUGACCAAUUUGCCUUAGACUUUUGCAAAAUGACCAUUUUACCCCGAAGCCCGAAAAUCAAUUUUUAUCGAAUUUUUUCACAUCUUAAGCCUAGCCGAACCCUUUAUACUCUUAUAGCAACUCCAAAUUCCCAUUAUUUCAAACAUUUAUCAUCUAUUUUACAACUUAUGCAAAAUAGUCCUUUUAGGUGUUUUCAUGCUAACACCUUUCACAAAAGUUGUUUAUAAGACACCCAAGACUCAUUUUCUUCCAUAAAAACUCAGAAAAAAUUACAAAUCCUUUCAUGGAAAAACCCUAAACUCUUAGUCAUUUUGCAAAAUAGUACCCUCAUUUGAAAGCUUAUGCUUCAAGGGUCUCAAAAAUGCAAAAAUCAUCAACAAAGGGUAUGUAAAUCACUUACUUCUAAAGAUGAUAAGUUGCUGAAAGUUUCAAGCUUCAAAACUCUUCUCUUGGCUGAUUUUUUAGUUAAGAAGAAAGAAUAGGUGAAAAAGAUGAAGGCUAGGCACUUAGGGUAUUAUUUUAUCACAAAAAAUGUCAUCACUUACCUAACAUUUUGACCAUUUACUCUUCUUUGUGUCAUGGCCGGCCAAGCUCUUUUAAAAGGGUCUAAUUGCCCUUUAAAGACCCCAAAAUUUUAUUCUCUAGCUAUUUUACACCUUUAACUAUCAAAUUAGGACUUUUGCACUUUAUGUGAUUUAGUCCUUUUACGCAAUUAAGCUCACAAACGCUAAAAUUACUUCACCAAAUUUUUCAUGCACUCUUAAAAACAUGCUAUAAUAUCAAAAUAAUAAUAAAAUAAUUUCUUUAAAUUUGUAUUUGUGGUCCCGAGACCACUAUUCUGACUAGGCCCAAAAUCAGGCUGUUACAAAAAUUUUAGUUAUUAUGUGUCUAAUUGUGGAAAGGACCAAAUUGUGUAAAAUGCAAAAGUUAAGUUCUAGUAGCUAUAAGGAUCAAAUAGCUAUGGAAUUCAAAACUUGAGGUCCUUAUAUGGUAAUUAGACCAUUAAAGAAAAGUUAGUAGAUAUUUUUGAUGAAUCAUCCAUGGAAAAAUAGAAAAAGGUAAGGAUUAAAUUGGAAACAAAAAUAAUUAAAAGAUGACAAUUAAAAUAAAUAGAAAUAUCAUCUUAUUUUUUAUCAUCUUCCCCAAAAUUUGCAUGAAAACCCUAGGAGAGAGAAAUAAAACUAAUCAAGCUUAAUUGGGUAAGUAUUCAUGUCCCGUUUUAGUAAUUUUUAUAUUUUUGAAAUUAGGAUAGUCUAAUCUAUCUAUUUAGGGGAUUAAUUUGAAAAUUUAUCAAGGUAUGAAAAUUUUUCUAUGGAUGUAAAUGUUGAAUUUUGAAAUUUAUGGUAGAAAAUGAAAGGUUGUUGAAAGAUAAACAACUUUUACAAAGUGAAUGUUGAUGAAAACUUGAUUUAGGGACUAAAUUGAAAAGUGGUAAAACUCAUGGAAAAAUUUUGAUUUUUUUAAAAUUCAUGGGUUGUUAUUUAGUAUAUAAAAUUCGGUUAGGCUGGAAAUAAGGAUUAAAUUGCAUGAAUUUCAUUUUUCGAGCCUAGGGACGAAAUUAUCAUUUAUGAAAAGUAUAGGGGCAAAAUGGUAAUAUUAUGUAGGAUGUAAAAUUAAUCCAAUUGAGUAUGAAAUGUGAUAAAUUGAUGAUUAAAUUCAUUUAGAUAGAUCUGAAAAGACCAAAUACGAAAUUGAAUCGAGGAAAACAAAAAUUUUUGGAUUAGUAGAUUUUUAAUUACCGAACAAAUAUCGAGGUAAGUUUGUGUAACUUUACUAUGCAUCUAAAUGUGUUUGAAUUGAUUGUGGUUUAUAUUUAUGUGAAUUAUAUGAAUGUCAUAAAUGAAAUAAAUGAUUUCAUGCUCGAAAAUGUUCGUAAAAGGGUUAAGUUCUGUUUGAAUAUUGAAUUUCGAUGCAUAUAUGUGAUUUCCCAUAUUAAUGAAGUCCUGCAUUUGUUGUGGACGGGAUUUAGCUCGAACGAGUAAUAAUAUUGACCUCAUUAUAGAUGGGAUUUAGCUCAGACAAGUAAUCCUGUUAUAGCCCUCUCUAGUAUUCUGUUAAGAAGUUCCUGCGAGCAUUCUAAUUGGUAGUGAACUUGCAUGUGUUGCACACUACUGUAGCUCUAUGUGAGCAUCCUGUUACAUGAUUCGACCGAUUGUGAUCUGGAAUUUGUCCCAGACACAAACGUAGCUCUAUGUGAGUGUCUUGAUAUGGCUCGCUUUAACUCUCUAAGGCAUGGUUAUCUGGUGCUCCUAUUACAUAGCUCUUUGUGAGCAAUCCUAACAAGCUCUUCAUAAGUUUCCUAAUUAAAAGUUCUUUGUGAACUUCCUGAUUGUGGCUCUAAUAAGAACUCUUGAGAUUUAGCCCGGAUGAACUUCUAGAUACAUGGUUCAAAUGAGCAUUUUGAUAUAUGUGGCUUGAGAGUGUGCUAUCUGAUUUAGUGCCCUAAUGGGUACCCCUGAACAUCAUGAAUUGAUGAGUUAUUAAUUUGUACACCUUAAGUGUAUUAUCUGAGUAUCCAUCGAUAUUUCAAUAGUUCAACGGAUAAAAACUCUUGGUAUGAGAAAUUAGAGGAUCAAAGGAAUGUUACUGAAAUACUUGAGAGUAUGUGGCAUGAUGAGCUCAUCUAUGCUUAUUUGAUAUAUACAUGAAUUAUAUAACUAACUUGUUUAAUUGAGUGUGUAUGUGAUUAGGCAGAUUAUGGGAAACAUGUUAUUGUAUGAAUAAUAUUAAUGAAUGUGAAUGGCAAGUUUAAUUCCUAUUAUAUGAACUUACUAAGCAUUAAAUGCUUACUAGGUUUACUUUUCCAUGUUUUAUAGUGCUCGAAAGCUCGCGCAGGUUGGAUAUUGGUUGGAGAAUCAUCACACUAUCCACUUACUUGUUUUCGUAAAAUUAAUAAACUUAUUUCAGUAUAAUGGCAUGUAUAGGCU
rnacentral:lncRNA from 1 species